UACGGAGGUCUCAAGCGUUGUUCGGAUUCAUUGGGCGUAAAGGGUGCGUAGGUGGAGGGGUAAGUCAGGUGUGAAAUCUCGGAGCUCAACUCCGAAACUGCACUUGAUACUGCCUUGCUCGAGUACUGGAGAGGAGAUUGGAAUUUACGGUGUAGCAGUGAAAUGCGUAGAUAUCGUAAGGAAGACCAGUGGCGAAGGCGGCUACCUGGACAGAAACUGACGCUGAGGCACGAAAGCUAGGGGAGCAAACAGG
rnacentral:rRNA from 1 species